GAUGAAUGCUGGCGGCGUGCCUAAUACAUGCAAGUCGAGCGAAUGGAUUAAGAGCUUGCUCUUAUGAAGUUAGCGGCGGACGGGUGAGUAACACGUGGGAAACCUGCCCAUAAGACUGGGAUAACUCCGGGAAACCGGGGCGAAUACCGGAGAACAUUUUGAACCGCAUGGUUCGAAAUUGAAAGGCGGCUUCGGCUGUCACUUAUGGAUGGACCCGGGUCGCAUUAGCUAGUUGGUGAGGUAACGGCUCACCAAGGCAACGAUGCGUAGCCGACCUGAGAGGGUGAUCGGCCACACUGGGACUGAGACACGGCCCAGACUCCUACGGGAGGCAGCAGUAGGGAAUCUUCCGCAAUGGACGUAAGUCUGACGGAGCAACGCCGCGUGAGUGAUGAAGGCUUUCGGGUCGUAAAACUCUGUUGUUAGGGAAGAACAAGUGCUAGUUGAAUAAGCUGGCACCUUGACGGUACCUAACCAGAAAGCCACGGCUAACUACGUGCCAGCAGCCGCCGUAA
rnacentral:rRNA from 1 species